CCGACGAAAGACGCUCGCCUACUCCAACUAAUCGUCAGUACAAAGCGAUCGUUCCCGCCGCCUGCGGACUUGUGGACUUGCCGGUUUGGGUUGCUCGCCAAGACCAGUGGACUGGGCGACUAAAGAUGCUUGUUUCCUUUCGCUUACGCCAUGUCGGCGACGUAGUUUUCUUCUUUUUUCCCUCAAGCCAUGUUGGCAGCUUAGAUUCCAGCACACCAUAG
rnacentral:lncRNA from 1 species